AGAGUUUGAUCAUGGCUCAGAUUGAACGCUGGCGGCAUGCCUUACACAUGCAAGUCGAACGCGAAAGGGGGCAACCCCGAGUAGAGUGGCGAACGGGUGAGCAAUACAUCGGAACGUGUCCUGUAGCGGGGGACAACCUCGAGAAAUCGAGGCUAAUACCGCAUACGAUCUACGGAUGAAAGUGGGGGGCCGCAAGGCCCCACACUAUAGGAGCGGCCGAUGCCGGAUUAGCUAGUUGGUGGGGUAAUGGCCUACCAAGGCGACGAUCCGUAGCUGGUUUGAGAGAACGACCAGCCACACUGGGACUGAGACACGGCCCAGACUCCUACGGGAGGCAGCAGUGGGGAAUUUUGGACAAUGGGCGAAAGCCUGAUCCAGCCAUGCCGCGUGAGUGAAGAAGGCCUUCGGGUUGUAAAGCUCUUUCGGCGGGGACGAAAUUGCGCGGGGUAACAUCCCGCGUAGAUGACGGUACCCGAAGAAGAAGGACCGGCUAACUACGUGCCAGCAGCCGCGGUAAUACGUAGGGUCCAAGCGUUAAUCGGAAUUACUGGGCGUAAAGCGUGUGCAGGCGGUUUCGAAAGUCCGAUGUGAAAUCCCCGAGCUUAACUUGGGAACUGCGUUGGAAACUACGAGGCUAGAGUGCGGCAGAGGGGGGUGGAAUUCCAGGUGUAGCAGUGAAAUGCGUAGAGAUCUGGAGGAACACCGAUGGCGAAGGCAGCCCCCUGGGUUAGCACUGACGCUGAGACACGAAAGCGUGGGGAGCAAACAGGAUUAGAUACCCCGGUAGUCC
rnacentral:rRNA from 1 species